AUAUAAGAUAUGGGUCUCUCCACC
rnacentral:siRNA from 1 species